AAUUCGAUUAGAGUUUGAUCCUGGCUCAGAUUGAACGCUGGCGGCAUGCCUUACACAUGCAAGUCGAACGGCAGCACGGGAGCUUGCUCCUGGUGGCGAGUGGCGAACGGGUGAGUAAUACAUCGGAACGUACCCAGGAGUGGGGGAUAACGUAGCGAAAGUUACGCUAAUACCGCAUAUUCUGUGAGCAGGAAAGCGGGGGAUCGCAAGACCUCGCGCUCUUGGAGCGGCCGAUGUCGGAUUAGCUAGUUGGUGAGGUAAAAGCUCACCAAGGCGACGAUCCGUAGCAGGUCUGAGAGGAUGAUCUGCCACACUGGGACUGAGACACGGCCCAGACUCCUACGGGAGGCAGCAGUGGGGAAUUUUGGACAAUGGGGGCAACCCUGAUCCAGCCAUGCCGCGUGAGUGAAGAAGGCCUUCGGGUUGUAAAGCUCUUUCGGCGGGGAAGAAAUGGCAACGGCUAAUAUCCGUUGUUGAUGACGGUACCCGCAUAAGAAGCACCGGCUAACUACGUGCCAGCAGCCGCGGUAAUACGUAGGGUGCGAGCGUUAAUCGGAAUUACUGGGCGUAAAGCGUGCGCAGGCGGUUUCGUAAGACAGACGUGAAAUCCCCGGGCUCAACCUGGGAACUGCGUUUGUGACUGCGAGGCUAGAGUACGGCAGAGGGGGGUAGAAUUCCACGUGUAGCAGUGAAAUGCGUAGAGAUGUGGAGGAAUACCGAUGGCG
rnacentral:rRNA from 1 species